CUCUUCAACUCAGAAUCGAAGCCCUAACUCUGAACAAAACCAGAAGAACAUCGAAGCGAUCUCCGAUCCGGCCUGCUCAUGCUGCUCUUUAUCUCCGAUCAGGCCUCCACUCAUCCACUUCCUCUGAUAGGUAUUUAACCUAUACGUACGGUCCGUCGCCUAAUUUAUGAGGAUUUAGUUCAGAAAUGACAGACUCGAAGGUCGAUGCCAUACUCGAAUUUCUCAAAAAGAAUAAGUUCGCUAGGGCUGAAGCAGCAUAGCGAGCAUUGGAUCUAUAUCUUUACAGUUCUGGUCAGUGUUUAGGUUUUUGAUGAAUUGUUUGAUUUAUUGAUUUUAUGGUAGAAAAAUAGUGCAUUAGGAGAAGAUUUGGAUUGGGAAUGGAAUGUAAAGCCGCCACCUGUAAUCACGGAGGAGGUUUCUCAGUCCAUUGAAGAACUAAUCAUGAAACGUAUAUCUGAGGGGCACUUUGAUGAUGUUCAAAAAGUUAAUAAGUUGCCUUCUAAAGCACCAAGGGAAAUGAAGGAAUUGGAUGAAAAUCAGAGUAAGAAGGGCCUUGGCGAAUUAUAUGCGGUUAGUAUUGA